AAGACAGGAGGAGAGGGGAAACAGAAAGACAGGAGGAGAGGAGAAACAGGAGGACAGGAGGAGAGGAGAAACAGAAAGACAGGUGGAGAGGAGAAACAGAAAGACAGGAGGAGAGGAGAAACAGGAAGACAGGAGGAGAGGAGAAACAGAAAGACAGGAGGAGAGGAGAAACAGAAAGACAGGUGGAGAGGAGAAACAGAAAGACAGGUGGAGAGGAGAAACAGAAAGACAGGAGGAGAGGAGAAACAGGAGGACAGGUGGAGAGGAGAAACAGAAAGACAGGAGGAGAGGAGAAACAGAAAGACAGGUGGAGAGGAGAAACAGAAAGACAGGAGGAGAGGAGAAACAGAAAGACAGGAGGAGAGGAGAAACAGAAAGACAGGAGGAGAGGAGAAACAGAAAGACAGGAGGAGAGGAGAAACAGAAAGACAGGAGGAGAGGAGAAACAGGAAGACAGGAGGAGAGGAGAAACAGAAAGACAGGUGGAGAGGAGAAACAGAAAGACAGGAGGAGAGGAGAAACAGAAAGACAGGAGGAGAGGGGAAACAGAAAGACAGGAGGAGAGGAGAAACAGAAAGACAGGAGGAGAGGAGAAACAGGAGGACAGGAGGAGAGGAGAAACAGAAAGACAGGAGGAGAGGAGAAACAGAAAGACAGGAGGAGAGGAGAAACAGAAAGACAGGAGGAGAGGAGAAACAGAAAGACAGGAGGAGAGGAGAAACAGAAAGACAGGUGGAGAGGGGGAACAGAAAGACAGGAGGAGAGGAGAAACAUGAGGAGAAAGAAAUGAAAAGUAAUGUCAAGUAAAAUAUAUUGGGUCAGGAAAAUCCUCCUCUUAGGUAGCCAUGGUAACACACUGAAAAACAGGGAUGAAGUCCC